GGCCCCGCUGCCCGGGGCUGGCUCCACCGCCAGGCACAGUCUCCUCUGUGUGUUCACUCGGGGAAAUAGUUAUGAGGAACUGUCCCUGCAGGGAACACAGGUGUCUGGGGGAAUGGCCUGGCAGAGCUCAAUCCCUGUGCCCCAGGUGUAUUUCACGCAGGUGUAAUCCCCAGGUGUGAAAUCCCCAGGUGUAUUUCACGCAGAUCCUCCCUUUGAGGGAGAGAGGGAGGCUUCUGCCCUGACAACAACUUUUGUUUUUUUAUUCUCAGGAUCCUGGGAUUUAUUUUUUUUUUAAGAAAAACUGCAGGUGUUUUGUUUCAGUUUGCAGUCAGGUUUGGCUCAGCAGUUCCAUGUUAUGUUCUGAUAAAUAUCAUGAGGAUCUAGGAAUAUUACUUGGGAUGAAUGGGACCUUAAGAUGGAUGUGACUUAAUUACUUCAGGGGAAAAGGAGGGGUCUAAUUAUAUUCCAUAACCAACUUACUUUGUGUUAUAGAAUUGACUCUAUUGAUCAUUGUAAUAAAAUUCAAAGACUUAUUAAA